AUUGAACGCUGGCGGCAUGCUUUACACAUGCAAGUCGAACGGUAGAGGGGCAACCCUUGAGAGUGGCGAACGGGUGAGUAAAGUAUCGGAACGUGCCCUGAAGUGGGGGAUAACGUAGCGAAAGUUACGCUAAUACCGCAUGAGAUCUGAGGAUGAAAGCGGGGGACCUGAGAGGGCCUCGCGCUUUAGGAGCGGCCGAUAUCUGAUUAGCUAGUUGGUGGGGUAAGGGCUUACCAAGGCGAUGAUCAGUAGCUGGUCUGAGAGGACGGCCGGCCACACUGGGACUGAGACACGGCCCAGACUCCUACGGGAGGCAGCAGUGGGGAAUUUUGGACAAUGGGGGCAACCCUGAUCCAGCAAUGCCGCGUGAGUGAAGAAGGCCUUCGGGUUGUAAAGCUCUUUUGUCAGGGAAGAAAAGGUAGGUGCUAAUAACGCCUGCUGAUGACGGUACCUGGAGAAUAAGCACCGGCUAACUACGUGCCAGCAGCCGCCGUAA
rnacentral:rRNA from 1 species